CAGCAGGGGAGCUCCAAGCCAGGAGCUGAGAGGCAGGUAGGUCCUGCGACCCUCAACCUGAUCUGGGUAAUGCCAGCGUAGGGAGCAUAAG
rnacentral:ncRNA from 1 species